rnacentral:tRNA from 1 species
AGGGGAGUGAGUGCAAGCGGUCCAAGCCACCUGGUUCUGAGCCAGGGUGUUCACAGGUUCGAAUCCUGUCUCCCCCACCA